rnacentral:pre_miRNA from 1 species
AAAUGCAUAACUGGGCAAUCACUCCUCGGACAGUUGCUCACAGAUUAAUGGGAGUAAUUAGGGUUAAUUAAGUUCAUUUAAGCAUAGAAGUAAUAAUGCAUAAUGCUAAAGGGGAUUUGCCCGGCGAUGCACCU